rnacentral:lncRNA from 1 species
AAACAGCUGUCUCAGGCAGAAGGCGCUUGACUCCAGGUGGGCGCUCAGCAGCAAGGGCAGCAAAGUGCUGGGCACACAGAAGGACAACGUGAUGAAGCGCCAUCACAUGGCUGGUAGCCUGUGGUGAGUCACCGGACUUCUCGACUCCCACCUCACUAGGGUGGAAGGAACAGUAACCACAACGCUCUGCAACUCGGGCUGCGCCCGCAUGAUUGGAAACAAUCUGUGAAAUGCCUUCAGCUCUCCAAAACAACAGAAAUGAUCAAAGAUGGAGGCAAGAAGACCAGAGAACCCUAAAUGUUUACUGUCUCCAGUGUGUUUGGAAACAGCUUGGACCAGUGUAGAGUGCUGGAACAGAGAGUCAAGAGCAUCAGGCGCGCCACCCAGAUAGCAUCUGAAAGAUUGUAAACAGGAUGAUUCACAAACUGGUGGCAGCAGCUAAAAGCAGUGCAGUUCGCGACCCUCAGCACACGCCAAGAUUCUAAAUGGGAUGUUGCGACAACAAAGCAGCCUGAAGAUUCUAAAACAUAAUGGUGUCACCAGGACAUUCACAGGGUGCUGUAACCUGUAACUGACAAGCAUACUCAUCAUCAUUUCUCCUUGGGCAUGCUGCAUCCUUGCGCUCCACUGGGCCUCCUGUUGCAUUGCUAUUUAUUUGCAUCUACAAGCAGGGGAGCAAGUAUGCUGCGGAAAUAGCCCCAGAGAGGUGUCUGAUUCCCAUAGGCCCUUGCAGCCAGCUACAACUGAAUGAUUUCCGAUAUCAGUUACUGAAAAUUCUGACCAUGAUAUGCAGACCAUGGCAGAUCUUAAUGACAAUAACAUCAUCUCACAUUUUGAUGGCGUUUAACAGUUUACAAAGUGCUUUCACAUACAUUAUCACAUUUAAUCCCAGUGAGGUCGAUAGUCUUCUUCUCCAUUUUAUUGGCAGCUUGGUGUAGUGGAAAGAGCUGUGGAAUCAGACAGACUUAAGUUCAGAUUCUGCCUCUGACUACCAAACCAUGGACAAUUUGCUUCAUUUCUCUCCCUUUUCUUACCUAUAGGAUGAGGAAUCAUUUCUAUUUCCGAGGUUUGUGGUGAAAAUUAAAUAACAUAUGUAAAGACAUACAAUAUAGGGCCCGAUGCAUAGAAGUACUCGAUAACCAUUAGUUUCUGUCCACUUACAGAGGAAGAAAAUGAAGCUUAAGAGGUUAAGGGAGUUGCUCAAAGUAAUAGCUAGUAAAUGGCAGAACUGAGACUUCAUUUAUUUUACAAAUAUUAUUGAACACCUACUAUAUGCUGGUGCCUUGGGCAUAGGAAAGUGGAUGAGUCAUAAUUCUAGUUUUUGAGAUGUUCACAGUAGAGCGGUGGAAUCUGAAAUGCAAAUAAUCAAUUAUAAUCGAGCGUAAUCUGAGAGGCAAAAAGUACUUAGGGAAUAUCCUAAAGCCAUGGGUGCACCCUAGAGUAUCUACACAAGAGAUAAGUCUGAGGAAGAGGAACCUUCCAGGAGGCAGCAGUAGAGUUACACCUGAAAUAAAAUGUUGGCAGGUGGAUGAGGGUGAGCAAGGAGAGGAGCAUUCAGGCGAAGACAACAGUGUGUGCAUUCAUCAGGAGGGUCAAAGGAGCCUGGCAUGUCCACUGCAGCACAGAAGAGAACCUGAGCAGACAGGAGAGAGAAGGGAGAGGAGGAGGCAAGGAAGCAGGAGUGAGAAGAAUGAAGGGGCUUGCAGGUAAUGCUGAGAAGCGUGCAUCUUUGUCAGUCCACACUGGCACAAACUCUGUGAUGAUUUACAGAGAGAGCCAACCUGGUCAGAUUUGCAUUUUUGAAAUUGUGGCAGCAAUGUGAAAGAUUGACUAGAGGAGGGGAUAAUGGAGGCAGUAGUUCAAUGAGAGAUAAUUAGGCUAUGAACUAAGAAAGUGGCAGAGCAGACAAUUUCAAGCGGUAUAGCAGAGGCAGAAUUGACAGGAUGUGGCCAUUAACUGGAUGUCAAGACAGGAGAGACAGAGAGAACUCUAGGAGGACUCCCAGGCUAUGAGCUUUGGUGGCUGGGCGAACGAAGAUGUCCCCCACUGACGUAGAAGGAGAGGACAUUUGAAGAGAUGAUAAUAAAUUCAUGUGGACAUGUUGACUCUGAGAGACUCAUGGAUAUCAAGAAGGAGGUGUUCAGUAGACAGCUAAAAAUAUGAGUCUGGAGUUUGGGAGAGGACUCACAAUUAGAUGCAUUGAUCUAGGGAUCAAUGGUUUUUAGACAAUGGUUGAAGCUGUUUUUUUAUGCCAAGAGGAUAGAGCAAGAAGAAAAGUGGGUCCUGGAGAACUCUAGGGAAUAUCAAUGUUUAGGUGCUAGAAUGAGGAUUGUUGGAGAGAUGGAACUACCAGGAGAAAGGGAGAGCUCAGAGGCCAGGGAAGGCAAGCAUUUUUUGAUGAUGAAAGUAGAGGAAAGUAUCAAAUUCCACCAAAGGAUCAAAGAAGAUGAGAACUGAGAUAUGCCUGGCAUUUGGGCAAUGAUAAGAUCACUUUGGCAACUUCAGUUUUAGACAAAGUGGUUAAAAAAGAGGCUUUUUUUUUUCUAUGACCCAAUAUAAGAAAAAUAUUUUAGGCCAGACAUGAUGGCUCACACCUGUAAUCCCAACACUUUGGGAGGCCUAGGCAGGUGGAUCACCUGAGGUCAGGAGUUUGAUACCAGCCUGGCCAAUGUGGUGAAACCCCGUUUCUACUAAUAAUACAAAAUUUAGCCAGGCAUGGUGGCAUGUGCCUGUAGUCCCAGCUACCCAGGAGCCUGAGGGAGGAGAAUCGCUUGAACCUGGGAGGCAGAGGCUGCAGUGAACUGAGAUUGCACCACUGCACUCCAGCCUAGGCAAUAGAGUGAGACUCCAUGAAAGAAAGAAAGAGAGAGAGAGAGAGAAAAGAAAAGAAAGGAAAGAAAAGAAAGGAGGGAGGGAAGGAGGGAGGGGAAAGAAGGAAGGAAGGAAGGAAGGAAGGAAGGAAGGAAGGAAGGAAGGAAGGAAGGAAGGAAAGAAAGAAAAAUAUAUUUUACAUUGUGACCUGAGAAAAACUUUCAAGAAACAAUACUUACACUCUGACAUGUCAUGACGUGUCACACGCCACCUGUUCUGUUCUAUUCUAUUCUAUUCUAUUCUAUUCUAUUCUAUUCUAUUCUAUUCUAUUCUAUUGCAUUCUAUUGCAUUCUGUUCCAUUCCAUCCCAUUCUAUUCAAAUGCUGCUUGGCCCUCACUAAAUUGAUUUUAUGACCAACUAGUGAGUUUCAACCUGCAGUUUGAAAAAACAGUAGUUUAGACAAAUACAGUUUUCUCACACAAAAAUUAUAUGGAGCAAAGUGUGGGAUAGAAGAAAGAACAUUGGAUUUUGAGUGAAGACACCUGAUUUUCAGCAUGACUCAUUUACUUACUGACUGUGUGACCUUAGAUGUGCCCAUUAACCUUUGUGUGUCUCUUCUAUUACCUGUAAAAUUCAGAUAAUAGAUCAGCUGCAAAGGGAUCUUCUGGGGAUCAAAUGAGAUAAAAUGCAUGAAUGCAAAAAGCAUAAGCCUAAAAUAGUCCUGGUCAAAGUAAAAUUACCAUAAUCAAAGAAAGAGCAGAAUGGUGCAUGGUGUAUCCCAGUUGGCUCUGGGUCUGUCAUCUGAAUCCUAGAGCCACAUCUCUCCAGAACAUACUGAGAACCAGAAAUGGGAUCAAAAUAAUUUAACCAAUCAAAACAGGUGUUGCUGCUAUAUUUAUAAAAUUCACAAAAUUUACUGACACAGAAGCCCGUGUGAAAUCCCAUCAGAAUCAUUGUAGUCUUGUUCUAAUACUAUUGUAGCCAUGUUGAUUUUCUGAUCUAUAUCUAUGGACCUGUAUCAGAAGGACAUUCAAUAAAAUCCUAUUGGAAGAGGAGCUGAUAGAGGCAAGUAUUUUCGCUACAGUGUGACAUGACAGCAAACAGACUGCAGGGAAACAGCAAGAUGAAAUCAUUUAAUAUAGGCAAUAUGUAAACUUCAGCAGACCCUGGUGAUAUCACUGUAUUAAGGUAUAAUACAAUAACUGAUUUUUAUGGUUCAUUCAACAAACUACUGUGUUUGAGUACUCAAUAUAUGUACUAAUCUAGGUGCAAGGAAGACACAGAUAAACUGGGGAUGUUUCCUAACCCUAAAAAGUGAGCACACAGAUGAGUGAGACAGACACAUACACAGAUAAUUUCCACUAACAUGGUACAGUGAAGAAAAAUAUGCAUCUGAGCAUGAUAUGAUAUUAAUAUGUCAUGAGAGAAAAGAAGAAGAGCAGCUAGCCCAAAGUGGAAGUGGAAUUCAGGUAAUGCUUCUUGAAGGUCAUUUGCCCAAGAUGAGUCUUGAUGAAGAUAAAGAAAGAUGGGGAAACAAUUCAGAAUGAUGGAAUAGCCUGAGAAAGGCAUGAAAGUAUGAAACCUUGCAUAGUGUAGAUAAUAUUUCUAGAUCAUAAAAAAGACAAGUACAGGCUAUACUUAAGAGGUAGGUAUGGUCCUCAAUACUGAGAGUCUUCUAUACCAGGUUAAGAUGUGUAGAGGACAUCACAUUGACCAGAGGAAGCCACUAAUAGGGAUUGAUUACUCUGGAAGCCUUAUGGAGGAGGAAUUUAAAAAUGGAUUAGGCACGUAAGUUAGGGAACAAUUGCAGUGGUUCAGGAGAGACAUAUUGAGGGUAUGAAGGAGAGAAGCAGUAAUAUGGAUGAAGAAGAGGGGUUAUAUUUGAAAAAUAUUUUUGAUACUAUAUUUAGAUGUGAAGGCUGAGGCCAGGUAAUAAAUGCUCCACUUCAGGGACAAAAACAUGACCUAGACUCCCCAAUAGUAUUCACUUUCUUGAGUUCAUGAUUGAGUCUAGAGAAAUUAAUACAUCUCUACAAGGCAUUAUAGUAUGAGGUAGAAGAUGCUAAGUGUUGAAAGAAAGGCACAGACAUAUGGUUAUGGGAGUUAGAGGAAAGAGGCAUAAAUUCCAACUGAGAGUUUUAGGGAAGUCUUCCUGGAAGAAGAGGCAUGCAAGGCAGAUCUUGAAAGAUGGUUAAGAUUUUGCCAUGAGUUGAUGAGAAGAAAGUGCAUUUCUGAUAAAGGAAUAAUCUGAGAAGACAUAGGAUGAAAGAUGGUGUCAUUUUGAGCUAAAAACACAGGCUCUGGAGUCACACAAAGUUGGGACCAAACUUUGGCUCUGUCACAUUCUAAUCACAAAAUUGGGGAUAAUUUAAUUGACACUUCAGAGCCUCGGCUCCUCAUUUGUACGACAGUUAUGACUAUCAUUUAUCUUAUGGGAUUAUUGUGAGGAUUUUUUCCUAUUAAACUUGAUUUAUUGAUUACAAUGAAAUUGACUUACCUCCGAGUUUUAUACUUUCAUGUGUUUUUGUAUCACUAAUUUUUUAUUCAGCUUGGAGCAUUCUCUUUAGCAUUUCUUGUAAGACAGGUCUAAUGGUGAUGAACUCCCACAGCUUUUGUUUGUCUGAAAAAGUCCUUAUCUCUCCUUCAUUUCUGAAUGACUACCUUGCCAGAUAUAGUAUUCUUUGUUGGCUGUUGUUGUUGUUGUUUACCUUUAGUACUUUUUUUUCCUUCUCCUCUUUUAGGGAAUUUAUUUUAAACCUAUUAUACUACACAAUAUGUUUUAAACACUGACAUAUAACUUCCUAAUAAGAUAGAGCUAAGAUAGAGCAAAGACAAAAAAAGUUUAUCUUAUUGGAAACAAGAUACAGCAUCAUUUAUAGUCAUUGUCAAACAUUACUGCACUUUAACUUUCAUAAUUUGACAAAGCAUUCAUGAAACAAUCUGC